rnacentral:rRNA from 1 species
GAUGAACGCUAGCGGCAGGCUUAACACAUGCAAGUCGAGGGGUAACAGGGUGCUUGCACCGCUGACGACCGGCGCACGGGUGCGUAACGCGUAUACAAUCUACCUUUUACAGAGAGAUACCCCAGAGAAAUUUGGAAUAAUACCUCAUAAUAUUAUUGCUCGGCAUCGAGUGACAAUUAAAGUUUCGGCGGUAAAAGAGGAGUAUGCGUCCUAUUAGCUAGUUGGUAAGGUAACGGCUUACCAAGGCGACGAUAGGUAGGGGUCCUGAGAGGGAGAUCCCCCCCACUGGUACUGAGACACGGACCAGACUCCUACGGGAGGCAGCAGUGAGGAAUAUUGGUCAAUGGGGGAAAGCCU